rnacentral:rRNA from 1 species
GACGGAGGAUGCAAGUGUUAUCCGGAAUCACUGGGCGUAAAGCGUCUGUAGGUGGUCAAAUAAGUCAACUGUUAAAUCUUGGAGGCUCAACCUCAAAAUCGCAGUCGAAACUAUUAGACUAGAGUAUAGUAGGGGUAAAGGGAAUUUCCAGUGGAGCGGUGAAAUGCGUAGAGAUUGGAAAGAACACCGAUGGCGAAGGCACUUUACUGGGCUAUUACUAACACUCAGAGACGAAAGCUAGGGUAGCAAAUGGGAUUAAGAA